AUUGAACGCUGGCGGCAGGCCUAAAACAUGCAAGUCGAACGCGUGGCGGACGGGCGAGUAAUGUCUGGGAAAAUGCCUGAUGGAGGGGGAUAACUACUGGAAACGAUAGCUAAUACCGCAUAUCAUCGGAUGUGCCCCGAUGGGAUUAGCUAGUAGGGGGGGUAAAGGCUCACCUAGGCGACGAUCCCUAGCUGGUCUGAGAGGAUUACCAGCCAGACUGGAACUGAUACACGGUCCAUACGCCUACGGGAGGCAGCGGUGGGGAAUAUGGCACAAUGGGCGCAAGCCUGAUGCAGCAAUGCCGCGUGUAUGAAGAAGGCCUGCGGGUUGUAAAGUACUUUCAGCGGGGAGGCGUUACCCGCAGAAGAAGCACCGGCUAACUCCGUGCCAGCAGCCGCGGUAAUUC
rnacentral:rRNA from 1 species